rnacentral:rRNA from 1 species
UGGGGAAUUUUGGACAAUGGGACGCAAGCCUGAUCCAGCCAUGCCGCGUGCGGGAAGAAGGCCUUCGGGUUGUAAACCGCUUUUGUCAGGGAAGAAAUGCUUCUGAGUUAAUACCUCGGGAGGAUGACGGUACCUGAAGAAUAAGCACCGGCUAACUACGUGCCAGCAGCCGCGGUAAUACGUAGGGUGCAAGCGUUAAUCGGAAUUACUGGGCGUAAAGCGUGCGCAGGCGGUUUUGUAAGACAGAGGUGAAAUCCCCGGGCUCAACCUGGGAACUGCCUUUGUGACUGCAAGGCUUGAGUGCGGCAGAGGGGGAUGGAAUUCCGCGUGUAGCAGUGAAAUGCGUAGAUAUGCGGAGGAACACCGAUGG